UGGAGGGAAAGAGGAAGUGCAUCAUGACGGCUCGUCCAGUGGACAAGGAACGUGUGAACAGAGGAAACCCGUGCCCUUUCCCUGGGCAUAGCCUAGAAAGUGUCAAGACCCCAGACUCAUCUCUAUUCUCAACGUGGUGCUGGAGCAGAAGCAAUGCUUUGAUGGUUGUUUCACAGCCCAGAGUAUCAGUCAAGGGUCCAGAGAAGGAGGAGAAGUUGAGGCAGGCGGUCAAGCAGGUGCUGAAGUGUGAUGUGACUCAGAGCCAGCCUCUGGGGGCCGUCCCCUUACCCCCGGCUGACUGUGUGCUCAGCACACUGUGUCUGGAUGCUGCCUGCCCAGACCUCCCCACCU
rnacentral:sRNA from 1 species